ACUGAUGUAUUCAACGAGUCUAUAGCCUUGCCCGAUAGGCCCGAGUAAUUUUUGAAAUUUCAUCAUGAUAGGCAUAGAUCAUUGCAAUUGUUGGUCUUCAAU
rnacentral:rRNA from 1 species